CUUGGUCAUUUAGAGGAAGUAAAAGUCGUAACAAGGUUUCCGUAGGUGAACCUGCGGAAGGAUCAUUACAAAUCGCUUGAAUGGCGCUAGCCAUUCGCUUUACGCUUGCUUUGUUUGUCAAAAAUUAUCACACAUCUAUACGGAAAACUUUUAACAAUGGAUCUCUUGGCUCUUGCAACGAUGAAGAACGCAGUCAUGUGCGAUAAUUAGUGCGAUUUGCAUGAAUCUGUGAGUCAUCGAAUCUUUGAACGCAACUUGCGCCUUUAUAGGCAUGUCUGUUCGAGAACCAUACAUCAUGUACUUUAUGUGAUUGUGGACUCUAGCCGCUAUGGCUUGGUCUGAAAUGGAGCAUGUAUGCUAAAGGAUUGGCAAUUCAUGUGCGCUACGAGCACCUGCUCGGUCGCAUUAAAUGCCCCUCUGAUGGCUCUCUACUUUCUUCUUGGUCUCGAAUCAGGCAAGGCUACCCGCUAAACUUAAGCAUAUCAAUAAGCGGAGGA
rnacentral:rRNA from 1 species